GAUGAACGCUGGCGGCGUGCUUAACACAUGCCAGUCGAACGAAGCAUUUGCGACAGAUUUUUUCGGAAUGAAGUUGCUUAUGACUGAGUGGCGGACGGGUGAGUAACGCGUGGGUAACCUGCCUUGUACUGGGGGAUAGCAGCUGGAAACGGCUGGUAAUACCGCAUAAGCGCACAAUGUUGCAUGACAUGGUGUGAAAAACUCCGGUGGUAUAAGAUGGACCCGCGUCUGAUUAGCUAGUUGGUGAGAUAACAGCCCACCAAGGCGACGAUCAGUAGCCGACCUGAGAGGGUGACCGGCCACAUUGGGACUGAGACACGGCCCAGACUCCUACGGGAGGCAGCAGUGGGGAAUAUUGCACAAUGGAGGAAACUCUGAUGCAGCGACGCCGCGUGAGUGAAGAAGUAAUUCGUUAUGUAAAGCUCUAUCAGCAGGGAAGAUAGUGACGGUACCUGAAUAAGAAGCUCCGGCUAAAUACGUG
rnacentral:rRNA from 1 species